AGAACUUCCUCAGGGACCACAAUUAAAAACAAUCAGCAUGUAUCAAUAUACAAUACAUAAAUAAACAUAUCCUACCAUAGGAUAUGUUUAUUUAUGUAUUGUAUAUUGAUACAUGCUGAUUGUUUUUAAUUGUGGUCCCUGAGGAAGUUCU